UAGCAUGAGAUAAGUUUGAUUUUUAGG
rnacentral:piRNA from 1 species